UGGAAGGAUGACAACAAUCAUAAAUACACAAGGCAAACAGGUCGAAGAGACAGGUGCAUGGGGCGUGGCUUCCACGUUGGCUGGCAGUUCGUUGGAGUCACUACCAGUCUCUUUUGGAGAAGCAUUGGCAAGAA